rnacentral:rRNA from 1 species
GGGGAAUAUUGCACAAUGGAGGAAACUCUGAUGCAGCGACGUCGCGUGAACGAUGAAGGCUUUCGAGUCGUAAAGUUCUGUCCUAGGGGACGAUAAUGACGGUACCCUUGGAGGAAGCCCCGGCUAACUACGUGCCAGCAGCCGCGGUAAUGCGUAGGGGGCGAGCGUUGUCCGGAUUUAUUGGGCGUAAAGGGUACGCAGGCGGCCUUUUAAGUCAGAUGUGAAAUCUUACGGCUCAACCGUAAUUAGCAUUUGAAACUGAAAGGCUUGAGUUAAGGAGAGGAAAGUGGAAUUCCUAGUGUAGCGGUGAAAUGCGUAGAUAUUAGGAGGAAUACCAGUGGCGAAGGCGACUUUCUGGACUUAUACUGACGCUGAGGUACGAAAGCGUGGGGAGCAAAC